UACAUUUUCUAUUAAAUAGCCUGCGCUGCAGGUCACGGCAGGCAGGAAUAGGAUCCUGAGCAUGGAAAUCCUGUCCUCCUUGGAUCCACUGCUCUUCCAGUCAUGGCUAAUGAAUGUGAGUAUGUGAAGGAUCCCAGAGAAGAGAGAAAAGCCUGGAUGAAGAAGGUAAAAUCCAUGUGAUUUAUGCAGCUGAGCUCUACCUUAAAAUGCUCCCUUACUCUGCACAGAAGUAAUACCUAUUCCUAUGUAUGGAUAUUAAUGGCCAGACCUAUGCAGAUUUAAAAAAUGAGAUAAAAUGAAAUAAAAAUGUAUGAUUAA